ACCAAUGAUGAGUACCAUGGGGUAUCUGAAACAGGAUUUUUGAUUAAACCCAUAUGCAAUUCUGAGGUCCAUUACAAAGAGACACGUAUUAUUCCUUUUUUGGGAAGUGAGCCUAUGGUACCUUUUCCUUGGACUUUGUGGUUCUUGGGGAUGGAUUGCAUUUUUGUUAUAAAAUCAGCCCAUGAAUUAAAAAUUUAUCAAUGAGUAAAACAUAAAGCAUAAGUCAUGUACUUAUUAUCAGUGACUGUAAUGAAACAUGGAUUAUUAUUAAAACUUAUCUGAGACUCCCAAUAAAUUAAUACCCAAGGCUUCUACCAUUCUGAAUGAAAACCAUGUAGCUGGUCUUAUUAUUCUCUAAUCAUGAAGACCAUUAUUGUUAUUUGUGGACUAAGGAGCAGAAAGACUGAUAGUGGACAUAGGCCAGCUGAUUUAAUAAUUUAAGAAAGAACUGUUAUCCUGAGUAAGGAGCAUAGAGACAAAUAUAAAAUGAACGCACUCUACCUGAUUUAAUUAUAGUCUUCUGGUGAAGAUCUUGCUGUUAUCUCUGUGAAUCAGGAGAGAAGAGAUUGAUAAGGAAUAGACGAGAUUGGAUUUGGUCAUUUCCCCAAGGUGAAGAGCAUGGCGAUUUCUUCUGUGAAUGAAUGCGCAAUGAUUCAAUUAUUCUCCAGCGAGGAAGAUCAUGGUUGUUGUCUGUUUGAGUAAUGAGUGUAGAAACCUAUAAUGGAGGCGUGAUGGCUGAUGCAAUCAUUUUCCACUGAUGAAGGUUUUGAUGGCCACCUGUGUGAGUAGGGAGGACAUAGGCUGCUAAUGAACAGCCCCAUCUGAUUUAAUCACUGUGCAAUGACCGUGAACUGUACAGUUACCUCCGUGUGUCACAGGAAGACUCUUGUGAUUGACUUAAGCACCCUUCCAUGGUCAUGAGGUUUCUGGUUGCCUCUGUGUGUUAGAAGCUUGGAGACCAAUGCCUUCUGCUGUGAUCGCGUUCUCCACAGUUGCCUCUGGGUAGGAGCCUGGACACUAAUAGAAAAUGGAUGCACUUGAGCCGACCUAAGCAUUCAUGGUCAUGAGAUUUGUGGUUGCCACUGUUGGUUAGGAGCAUAGAGAUCAGUAAUGGACACACCUGGGCUGGCAGAACAUCUUGCCUUGAUCUGGAGCCCCAUGUCUGCCCCUCUGUAGAGGUGCACAUGGGCCAAUGAUGGAUGCAAUGAGCUGAUCAUUUUGCUGUGAUCAAGGCUAUGUUGCCUCUGUGUUAGGCCAAUAAUGGACAGACCCGGGCUGAUUUUGGUGUUCUGUGGCUAUGAGAUCAGUGGUUGCCUCCAUGUGUUAGGAACAUGGAGACUGACGUAAUAGUCAAACUUCUUGUCUCAGUUUCAGUGUUCUUCUGAAGGGUAUGCAGUAAGUGC
rnacentral:lncRNA from 1 species